UACGAAGGGGGCUAGCGUUGCUCGGAAUCACUGGGCGUAAAGCGCACGUAGGCGGAUUGUUAAGUCAGGGGUGAAAUCCUGGAGCUCAACUCCAGAACUGCCUUUGAUACUGGCGAUCUCGAGUCCGGGAGAGGUGAGUGGAACUGCGAGUGUAGAGGUGAAAUUCGUAGAUAUUCGCAAGAACACCAGUGGCGAAGGUCGGCUCACUGGCCCGGUACUGACGCUGAGGUGCGAAAGCGUGGGGAGCAACAGG
rnacentral:rRNA from 1 species